GACGAACCGUGCGAACGUUAUUCGGAAUCACUGGGCUUAAAGCGCGUGUAGGCGGGUCGGAACGUCGGCCGCUGAAAUCCCCCGGCUCAACCGGUGAAGGGGCGCCGAUACGACCGACCUGGAGCGACGUAUGGGGGACUGGAACUUCCGGUGGAGCGGUGAAAUGCGUUGAGAUCGGAAGGAACGCCCGUGGCGAAAGCGAGUCCCUGGACGUCGGCUGACGCUGAGACGCGAAAGCCAGGGGAGCGAACGGG
rnacentral:rRNA from 1 species